rnacentral:rRNA from 1 species
GUAGGUGGCAAGCGUUGUCCGGAAUUAUUGGGCGUAAAGCGCGCGCAGGCGGUCCUUUAAGUCUGAUGUGAAAGCCCACGGCUCAACCGUGGAGGGUCAUUGGAAACUGGGGGACUUGAGUACAGAAGAGGAAAGCGGAAUUCCAAGUGUAGCGGUGAAAUGCGUAGAGAUUUGGAGGAACACCAGUGGCGAAGGCGGCUUUCUGGUCUGUAACUGACGCUGAGGCGCGAAAGCGUGGGGAGCAAACAGGGAUUAGAUACCCUGGUAGUCCACGCCGUAAACGAUGAGUGCUAAGUGUUAGGGGGCUUCCGCCCCCUUAGUGCUGCAGCUAACGCAUUAAGCACUCCGCCUGGGGAUACGGCCGCAAGGCUG